AUUGAACGCUGGCGGCAGGCCUAACACAUGCAAGUCGAGCGGGGUUUUCGGACCUAGCGGCGGACGGGUGAGUAAUGCGUAGGAAGCUGCCCGAUAGAGGGGGAUACCAGUUGGAAACGACUGUUAAUACCGCAUAAUGUCUACGGACCAAAGUGUGGGACCUUCGGGCCACAUGCUAUCGGAUGCGCCUACGUGGGAUUAGCUAGUUGGUGAGGUAAUGGCUCACCAAGGCGACGAUCCCUAGCUGGUUUGAGAGGAUGAUCAGCCAAACUGGACCUGAGACAGGGUCCAGACUCCUACGUGAGGCAGCAGUGGGGAAGAUGGGACAAUGGGCGCAAGCCUGAUCCAGCCAUGCCGCGUGUGUGAAGAAGGCCUUCGGGUUGUAAAGCACUUGCAGCGAGGAGGAAGGGGUGUGUGUUAAUAGUACACACCUUUGACGUUACUCGCAGAAGAAGCACCGGCUAACUCUGUGCCAGCCGCCGCGGUAAUAC
rnacentral:rRNA from 1 species